rnacentral:rRNA from 1 species
UACGAAGGGGGCUAGCGUUGCUCGGAAUCACUGGGCGUAAAGAGCGCGUAGGCGGCUCGUUAAGUGUGAAGUGAAAUCUCUAGGGCUCAACCCAGAAACUGCUUUACAUACUGGCGAGCUGGAGUGAUGAAGAGGUUUGUGGAAUUCCUGGUGUAGCGGUGAAAUGCGUUGAUAUCAGGAGGAACACCCAUGGCGAAGGCAGCAAACUGGUCAUCAACUGACGCUGAGGCGCGAAGCGUGGGUAGCAAACAGG